GACAGUUUGGAGCUUAAUUACAGAAAAUCACGACAUUUUGCAUAAUUAUCGAAAAUCUUGAUUUUGGGUCUAUCGAGAUACAUAAUUUAGCUCCAGAUACAUCCAAUCAAGAUACAUUUUUUCUUUGUACGGAUACAUAAUUAACUUCCAACAUAUUUUUUUUUUUUUGUGAUUUUAGGUCUAUUGAGAUACGUAAUUAGCUUCCGAUACAUUUAAAGAAGAUACAUAAUUAAUUGGGAUUUUUAUAGUUACUUUGUAAGGGUGAGAAUUUAUGUUAAUAUGAUAAAUUAAAAUUAAGGUUUAUAUUUAUGUUAUUUUUCCUUAUUAUUUCAAUACGGUGUCCCUUCGCAUGCUAAUUAAUUAAAUCAGUUUGUCAAAAUAAAAGUAUUAUCACAAAAUGAGCCUUGAUAGAACAAAUAUGAUAAUAUUCAUUUGCUUGAAAAGGGAGAAGUCACUUCAACCUUUAUGCAAACACAAAACAAUGUGUCCCUAUAAAGCACACACAUUUGCCAACAUACAAGUGCGGCUAAAACAAAUCAACCAAAACUAAAAGAAAACUUUUAGCACUCAAAUUUGGAGAGCUAAACCAUAUUGCAAAACACAAUACUUGCUACUACUAACUUACAACCCAAUCACAAUAAAUAUGAGAAGUAACUAGAGGACCACAACAAAUUUAAUACCACACCUUAGCAGCAAAAACAAAAAAAGACCUUAGAAUAGAAAGCUCCAUAGAUUUGCUCAGUAACAGGUUUGUUCGUUCUGGCUGUUAAUUAAGCAAGAGCGAUAGGUGAUGCAACAUCCUUAUUGCUACAUACUUUUAACUUGACAGAUUCAUCAUUCUUAUUGCUACAUACUUUUAACUUGACAGAUUCAUUCAAUUUUACUCACGAAGGAUGGAGAGGGAAUUUACCGGCGACGACAAUGAGCUUUGCACAUGUGUAUACAAUCGUAAUAACAAGGUCCUCCACAAUGAAGAGGACAAUCCAAACGCAUUCCUUUGCAUCUUCCUUUAACCAUGCAUUGUGCAAAUUCACCUAUCUUGUAAUCUUUACUAUUGUUCAUAUGCCAAUGUCUAUGAUGAUCAUUAUGUUCUUUUUCUUUCCUACAUCCCCAUGCNNNNN
rnacentral:lncRNA from 1 species